GCUGGUGGAGACCUCGAAGACAUAGGCGGUGCAGAGCAGCAGUUCCUGGGUGUCUCUGUUUGUCACCACCUGCCAGGAAGGCCAGGACAAGGGACUUAUGCUUAGAAGGGAGGGCAGGGACCCCUGUGCCCCCCUGCCAAGCUAUCAUGGAAUACCCAGCAGGCUCUUUUCCAUCUCCAGGAAACAGGCCGCCACCAUAUCAUGUUCCCCAGGAGAAAGGGAUGCCCAAAAGUCAGUUCCCUGGGCAAUGGGGGUUACCCCUCAGCUGAGCGUUGGCAGUUAUGGUGUAUCACAUCUCAGGGUUAAUCGGGUUCCCAUCACAUCACAUUCCCUGGGUAAAAGGGGUCCCCAUCAUGUCACAAGUAAAGGGAGAACCCUCCCUGCAGGUUCCGCGGUCAAGGGGUCUCUGCCUCAGCAGUCCAAAAAGUUAAAGGGGCUCCCACCAUAUCAUGUUCCUUGACAAGCUGAGGAUCUGCCUUCGAGUGCCCUCCAGUCAGCUUCACCAGGGAAGGAGGGACCCACCUUAUGUGCGAGUGCUGUGGGGCUGGGCGUGGUGGCUCACACCUGUAAUCCCAGCACUUUGGGAGGCCUAGGCAGGUGGAUCACUUGAGGUCGGAGAUCAAGACCAACCUGGCCAACAUGGUGAAACCCCAUCUCUACUAAAAAUACAAAAAUUAGCCAGGCGUGGUGGGGCGUGCCUGUAAUCCCAGCUACUCGGGAGGCUGAGGCAGGAGAAUCACUUGAACCCGGGAGGCAGAGGUUGCAGUGAGCCGAGAUCUUGCCACUGCACUCCAGCCUGGGCGACAGAGCGAGACUCCAUCUCAAAAAAAAAAAGAGAGAGAGUGCUGUGACAUCCCCACCCUGGGUGAAGGGUCCCCUAAACUAAGGGUCAAUGGUGGGGUCCCCGCUGCAUCAGUUUCCUAGUUAAAAGAGCCUCAGGCUGAGGGCUCACUUUGGAGUCCCUGCUGUGUCAGUUCCUGGGUGAGGAGAUCCCCUAGACUGAGGGUCUGUUAUAGGUACUGUCCCUCCACACUGGGGGGCCCCACUCCAGCCCAGCCCCAGGCAUCACCUGGAGGAUGGUGAAGUUUUCCAGGACGCUGUUCAUCAUGUAUCGCUCAGGCAGCUGCCGCAACUUGUGCAAGAAAUUCACCAGGUACUCGCACAUGGGCGAGCGCAGCAGGCGGUACACAAAUCUGCCGUCCUCCAGCUGGGCCCGUUCCGUCUGAACCAAGGGGAAGGGAGUUGGGAAAAUGGUGGCUGAGAGACCCACGGGUCACCCCAGGAAUUGAGCUCCACCCUGUGCCUCUAAGAUGCCACCACACUCACUCUCACUGCCACCUUCCUUUCAUCACCCCACCCACAGUGACUGGAGACUGGGCCUGAACCCUCGGAGAUCCGAAUCAGGAUCUCUGAGCCUGCAAAUCACAAGCCCCUCAAAGUGAUUCUCUGAACCCCCAAAGACCUCUGGACUCCUCUAACCUCCCAGCCCUCAGAUACCCUCCAAAGACCCCUCCAUGACGUCUUCAAACUCUGACUUCUAAACUUGAGACUUCCCCAAGUCUCCAGCAACUAAUCAACUGCAUCUGGCGGUUCCACGAAGGCUGAGAACUCUACCAGCUGCAACCGGGCGGUGCCCAGGCCCCGAGCCUGCCAGGCUGGGGGCGAUGGGGUAGGUGGGGGCAGGGGUGAGAGGGCUUGGGGGGGCUCGUACCCUAGAGAGAGAGAAGAAAGAACAAUACAAAUUGCUAACAUUUAUGGAAUAUAUCAGGUACUGUUGUCUCUUGCCUGCCUCCACUUAGAAGCUGAAAAAGCUAAAUACUCACUUUCCCAGCCUCCCUUGCAGUUAGAAGUGGCCAUGUGACACAGUCCUAGCCAAUGAGACGUUAGGGGAAAUCUGCUGGGGGGCUUCUGGGAAGGAGUUUCUUCCUGAAUGAAAAAGACAGAACUUUGGGAGGAGAAAGCUUUUGGCCCUGGCCAAGUCCUGCUUGGGAGAUUGAUAUGGUUUGGAUAUUUGUCCCCUCCAAAUCUCAUGUUGAAAUGUGAUCCCCAGCUGGGCACGGUGGCUCACACCUGUAAUCCCAGCACUUUGGGAGGCCAACGCAGGUGGAUCACAAGGUCAGGAGAUUGAGACCGUCCUGGCUAACAUGGUGAAACCCUGUCUCUACUAAAAAUACAAAAUAUUAGCUGGGCAUGGUGGCACGUGCCUGUAAUCCCAGCUACUUAGGAGGCUGAGGCAGGAGAAUGGCUUGAACCCAGGAGGCGGGGGUUGCAGUGAGCCGAGAUUGCGCCACUGCACUCCAGACUGGGGGACAGAGCGAGACUCUGUCUCAAAAAAAAAAAAAAAAGUGUGAUCCCCAAGGUUGGAGGUGGGGCCUGAUGGGAAGUGCUUGGGUCAUGGGGGUGGAUCCCUCAUGAAUGUCUUGGUGCCUUCCCCAUAGUAACAAGUGAAUUCUCACUCUUUGAGUUGAUGUGAGCUGGCUGUUUAAAGGAGCCUGGCUUCGCUCUCUUGCUCCCUCUCACCAUGUGACAUAGUGGCUCCCCUUCCCCUUCCACCAUGGUCCUAAGCUUCCUGAGGCCCUCACCAGAAGCAUAGGCUGGCAACAUGCUUCCUGUACAGCCUGCAGAACUGUGAACCAAAUAAACCUCUUUUCUUUAUAAAUCACCCAGUUUCAGGCAUUCCUUUACAGCAAUGCAAAUGGACCAACACAGACAUGAUCCCUGGAGUUGCAACAGCCAUCUUGGGACAAUAAGACAGACAUGAGAGGAACUACAGAGAUUCCAGUCCUGAUAUUGCUAAGCCCACACGGGAACAGCCCACCUCCAGGCUUUUUGUUGCAUGGAUUCAUAACAUGAAUGCUUUUACUAUUUAAGGCACUUUUAAUGUGGGUCUUCUGUUACUUGCAGCCAAAAGUAUUCCUAAUUGAUAAAUCUAUGGAAACUAAGGGACUCCCUCUUUCACUGAUGUGAGUUCUCAGGGCCAUAUCAGCAUGGACUUCCAGAAGCCAUCUUUGCUGCCAAGUAGCUGAGUCUGCCUGGGAAUGAAGCCACCACAGUGGAAAGCAGAUCAAAGUAAUGACUGAUGCCAUCACUUGAGCCGCUGGAUCCAGCCACGCCUGAGGCCAUAAUUCUGAACUGUCAGUUACUGGAACCAAUAAAUCAAUACAUUUUUCUUAUUAUUUUUUAUUUUAUUUAUUUAUUUAUUUUGAGACAGAGUCUUGCUCUGUCGCCCAGUCUGGAGUGCAACGGU
rnacentral:lncRNA from 10 species